ensembl:lncRNA
UCCUCAGCAUCACAGAACAUCCAGAAACAACAGAGAGUCUUCACAGACAGCUUACUGUGUAGAGCUCAGACAUCAUCAUAAUCUUCUGAAUGUUGUUGAUUGCAGCAGACAGUAAAACAAAUGCAGCUCAGCAGCCUUCAGACUGAAACGAGAUGCUGCAGAGGAAAACGUCUUUUCUGAAAAUGCACUGGGCUUCACAUUCACGUCUUUGUCCACAGCGAACACGGAGCAGAGAAUUUCCACCCAGUUUUUCUUUGUCACAGAAUAACAAAGGAAUAUUAUCUUCAGAAGAGCUCUGAUCACUUCAGGAUGUUUGCUGUCCACCAACUGAAACCUAAGAAAGAGAAUCCUGGGACUCUAACAACAACAACAUCCAUCCAUUCUCUUCCACUUAUCCCUGUCAGGGUUGCUGGAGCCUAUCAGGGUACACUGUGGACAGCUCGCCAGCCUGACGCAGGGCUAACACAUACAGAAAAUCAUUCACACUCACAGUCAGCUCUAUGGGCAUUUUAGAUUCUCCAAUUAACCUAGCCCCACUAAUUGCAUGUCUUUAAACUGUGGAACGAAGCUGGACAAAGAAACCAUUAUGGCUGAGAAGACAAACAAAGAAACAGGAGGGCAACUGGAAGUACAAAGAACUUAGCAAAAACCUGAACUGGGAAAAGCUAAGAAAAGCACAUCACAAGAGGCUGGAAAACAGAGACACAGGGAAACAGGCAGAAGGACCGCAGGGGCAACGUGGAGGAUGAUCACACAGACGGACUGACAAGGAACAGAGGAAAGCACAGACUGUUGCUGUGUCCAAAUUCAGGGAAGGAUCCUUCAAGGAUUCUACCUACCUGUGUCACUUAGGAGGGUAUUUCAAUGGCAGUGUAGGCCAGAAGUGAGCGGAUGUGAAAUUAGACAGCCUUCUAAUUUUCUUUAAUCUACACGCAUUUAGGAAUGAUUGCCGGUCAUUCGUUCACAUUUACUGUAUUAUAUAAAAUAUGUAAACUAAAUCUCU